CCUACGGGCGGCAGCAGUGAGGAAUAUUGGUCAAUGGACGCGAGUCUGAACCAGCCAAGUCGCGUGAAGGAUGACUGCCCUAUGGUUUGUAAACUUCUUUUAUAAAGGAGUAAAACGAGCCACGCGUGCCUUUUUGCAUGUACUUUAUGAAUAAGCAUCGGCUAACUCCGUGCCAGCAGCCGCGGUAAUACGGAGGAUUCGAGCGUUUUCCGGAUGUAUUGGGUUUAAAGGGAGCGUAGAUGGGUUGUUAAGUCAGUUGUGAAAGUUUGCGGCUUAACCGUAAAAUUGCAUUUGAUACUGGUAGUCUUGAGUACGGGUGAGGUAGGCGGAAUUCGUGGUGUAGCGGUGAAAUGCGUAGAUAUCACGAAGAACCCCGAUUGCGAAGGCAGCUUACUAACCUGUAACUGACGUUGAUGCGCGAAAGUGUGGGUAUCAAACAGGAUUAGAUACCCUUGUAGUC
rnacentral:rRNA from 1 species